rnacentral:tRNA from 1 species
UGCGGGAUGGUGUAGCGGUAGCACAGGUGACUCUGGAUCAUCUACGCCCAGGUUCGAUCCCUGGUCCCGCAG